UACAGAGGUCUCAAGCGUUGUUCGGAUUCAUUGGGCGUAAAGGGUGCGUAGGCGGCGCGGUAAGUCGGGUGUGAAAUCUCGGGGCUUAACUCCGAAACUGCAUUCGAUGCUACCGUGCUUGAGGACUGGAGAGGAGACUGGAAUUUACGGUGUAGCGGUGAAAUGCGUAGAUAUCGUAAGGAAGACCAGUGGCGAAGGCGGGUCUCUGGACAGUUCCUGACGCUGAGGCACGAAGGCCAGGGGAGCAAACGGG
rnacentral:rRNA from 1 species